CUGACACACUAUGAGGAGUGGGAGAGGAAGAUCGAAGCGUGGCAGAAUCCCAUCCUGGAGGACAGCCAGCUGCCUUCCUGGUACAAGUCAGCCCUGUUCAAUGAGCUCUACUUCCUGACGGAUGGAGGGACCAUCUGGAUGGAGGUGCUCCCUGAUUGCCGUGCCGAGGAGCUGCAGGGGCCGGCAGGGGCGGAGCUGUCCCACCUCCUCCCUGUCCUGCGGGAGUACGGAAGGUUUGCUUAUUUGGAAGGCCAGGAGUACCGGAUGUACAACACCUACGAUGUCCAUUUCUACACCUCCUUCGCUCUCAUCAUGCUGUGGCCCAAGCUGCAGAUCAG